GUUUUACUCAUUUGGUAAAUAUUUAUAUUUACUGGUAUUUUCUGUAUUGCUGCAGGGCAAUUUGUGUUGGUGGAGGGGCUUCAUUAAAAUGUGAGUUGACUGGAAUUCAGUAUGAGUUAAAGGUGAAUUUUAAAUUUAGACAAAGCUGAAAAAAAUCAUGAAGACCUUUUUUGCAAUUUGUUAACUUGGUCUAAAAUUUUAAAUUGAAUUUAAAUCGACUUCGAAUUUGUGACAAUUGACACUUUGUGGACCCUGGACUAAAUAUCAGUAUUGACGUAGAGUGCCUGCUUUUUGUUUUGUUUUUAGAGUGGCAAUGCCUUUUGUUUUGCCAUCAACUCCUUAUAUUCCCUGCCACCCUAUGCAGUGCUGGGCAAGAUGGGAGUUACCGCUCCCAGAAUUAGAAACAAACUAAAAAAAUGUCGCUCUAAAGCACUGACACAAAUCCAUAACUUUGUUUAUCUUUAUUUGUAUUACUUUAGUCGCUAAUGCCAUUACAAAAGGGUCUAUAGAACAGUGUGUGCCAAAAUGUUACAUUGUAAAUGGGGAUAUUUAAAAUUGCCACCUGCUUCCCAGUGCCGGUUCUAAUGGCCUGUGGUAUGUACUUCUAUUGAUAAGAGUAGAUAAGUGAUUAGGAUAAAGGACCAUGGAUAAGAGCAGAUUAUGAAUAGAAAAUCCAUUUUUGUUUGUACAUUUCUAAGAGCUUAAAGGGCAACUAAAAAGUAUUUUUGUCCAUACUCUAUUUUUCUGUUUGCUGCUACACAAUCAUAUGAACCGGGUCACAUGUUUAUGUGAAACAAUUGAAGAAAUAUAAUGCAGACUGUAUUCAAAAAGAAAGUAAAAGAAAGAAGGGUGGGAUCAGGGGGAACUCCAUAAAGAGCUACACCCAGGGUCAGGCGUAGUCUAUGGGAGUGUCGCAGUGAAUAGGCAUCAAUGGAACCUAUAAUUUGGAGAAUUGCUUUAAAGUUUCAAAUGUUCUCCAUAUGAAGUACAUAUAAUACAGAGACAUCGAUUCACACUGUUUGAUCUGGUCAUCCUCAAGUUGGACGCAAUCACCCAACACAACGGCUUUUUUAAAAAAAACUCUGUGUUGGAGGACCUUUCUAAAAGGGCCGAGGGCACAUUAACAUUAAAAAUCCCUUUUUAAUGUUAAUGUGCCCCUAGGCCCGUUUAGAUUAUAGUACCGCCCCUUAUAAACUAAAACAAUAAAGUUAAAUUCACUUUUAAUUCGGCGGCAUCCCAGUCUCACUGCAAUCACCACUUCUCCUAAUGCAAAGAUCAUCCACAUAGAUAAUUUUGGUCAACCAAAUACUUCUCCAUAGAGAAGCAUUGAUGACCCUGCUGUGCAUGUGUUGCAAUUAACUCUCUGCACCAAUAUGAUUUUCUUAAUAGAGAAAUAUUACAGCGAGACUUCGCUGCAAAUGUGAGGACUGUAUUUUUUUUGCCUCUAGCAAUGCCUCAAGCACCUGUCUGAUUGACAGGCUGACAAAUAAAAACAUUGCUAUUUUUUAUAAACAGCAAUUAUUGUAUAGAUUAUGACCCUACAGUCUCACUGCUCAAUUUUCUGCCAUUUAGGAGUUAAUUCACUUUGUUUAUACAGCCCUAGUCACACGCACCCUGCAUGUGACUUACACAGCUUUUAUAAUCACUUCCUGGAUAGAGAGAUUGAAUGUUUAAAUCUCUCUUAUUGCAUAUUCUGUUUAAUUUAGAAUUAAAGAUAUUAAAGUGGCAUGCUUAUCUUUCCCUAAUCGAUUCUUCUUUUCUUCCUGUCUCCCAAUCAUUUCUUCUUUUCUUCCUUUGUUUUUUUAUUUUUCUGAAAAUAUAUAAGGCACGGUAGGGACUACUUUGCCUUAUAUAUUUCUCCUACGCUUAACAAAACUUUCACUUACUCAAAGGAAAUCUUGCUAGCAUACUUAUGUUCCUGUUGCCUCCCUCGGCUUCUUGCUUGCGAGGCUCGUCUGUCAUGCACAUGUCCAGUAAAAUCUCUGUGAGUCUCGAACUUGGGCAUGCCCAACUAACAGUAGUGAUAUUUUAGUUGCCAUUGACAAUGUUAAUUCCUCAUCCUAUACCAGCAUUACCCAUCAGAAAGUGCUACUGAACGUGCAAAUAUGGUCGUGGUCCAUAAUAGGAGGCUUAUUAAAACACAUUUUUACUUCUUCUCAUUGCCCUGUCGUGGUUUCCCUGAGUAGGUUAUACGAGAGUGUGUUCCUGAGCGUUUAUUACUGGUUUCUGACUUUGGCUUCGUUUUAACUUCCCUGUAUUCUGGUAUCCUUGACUUCUGGCUUUCCCUCACCGUUGUGUCUCCUUCUGUAUCCCUGACCUCGGCAAGUAUUCUGACUAUUUUCUGGUAUGUUAAGUCCGGCCAUUCUAAAGCCCGGUAAGACGUUACCUUUAGUCCUAUUAUCCUUUUAUCAAAGGGUUCUCUUCUGUGAUAGCCCCCAUCACCAAUAUGAUACGUAAGGAGGCUAGUUGUAUGAUAUGGUCUAAGGAAGCUAGAGAAGCUUUUGAACUUCUUAAAAAAUUGUUUGCUUCAGCUGAAAUUUUGGUACAUCCUGACACUAACAAAACCUUCAUACUGGAAGUUGAUGCCUCCGAAACUCUGUAAGGGGUUGUUCUUUCUCAGGGAGAGAGUCAGGAUACCCCUUUACAUCCAUGUGGUAUUUCUCUAGAAAGUGGUCUCCAGCAGAGCGUAAUUAUGAUAUUGGUAACAGAGAAUUGUUGGCCAUUAUACUAGCGCUUAAAGAAUGGCGACAUCUUUUAGAGGGUUCCAAGGACCCCCUAUUGAUCAUAACUUACCACAAAAAUGUGACAUAUAUCGGUGAUGCUAAACGACGAUCUUCUAGACAGGCUAGAUGAGAUGGUCUUUGUUCUUAUCUUGCUUUAACUUACAGACCUGGUCCCAAAAACUUUAAAGCUGACGCCUUAUCUAGAUGGUGUAACGAGAAUAUACCCCAACACGCAGGAUUCAGCAAAACAAAAGACAACACAGAGGAGAGAUACGUCUACCGGACCUUAGAAUGGCCGGACUCGACGUAUAUGAGAGGAGACAGAGUCAGGAACGAUCCGAAAUCAAGGGCACAGAGAGACAGCGUAAACUGGGACAAGCCGGGGUCUGGUACACAGUAAACAGCAAGCCGACAACCAGAACAGAAGGAUAAAGAGAAAACGUAGUCAGAAACAAAGCCAAGGUCAAUAUGGUCAAUAUUAAGGUAUAAUAAGGGAGCAGCGCCUUGGUGAAGUAUAAUAGGUAAGGUAUAAUUAGGGAGCAGUGCCUUGGUAAAGUAUAAGAAUUCAGGUAUAGUUAGGGAGCAGCGCCUUGGUGAAGUAUAAUAAUUAAGGUAAACUUAGGGAGCAGCGCCUUGGUGAAGUAUAAUAAUUAAGGUAUAAUUAGGGAGCAGCGCCAUGGUGAAGUAUAUUAAUUAAGGUAUAAUUAGGGAGCAGCGCCUUGGUGAAGUAUAAUAGGUAAGGUAUAAUUAGGGAGCAGCGCCUUGGUGAAGUGAUUGAUUGAAGUCGGCUAUUUUAACCCGAUGUGUACUGUAAAAUAUUCUGCAUGUUUAUGUGUACUUAAUAAAAUAAAGUACAGUUGAGCAAAUGCAUAGCAAAAGUGCGACAACUUCUGUUAAUGCAGCACUUAACAACCCAUGUAGUAAACUAGUUAAAUACCUUAUCUGCGAUUUAUAACAAUCUGGUGGGUCAAUUCACAACUGCAAACUUUCCCAGGGAAUUUCUCUGACUUUUUUCCCUUUUAGGUGUAAGAAAAACAAAUUCCCUUGCAGGCCAGAAGAUAAUGCGCAAACAAGGGUGUGCAUUCAGACCUUUGUAUUGUCGUUACUGUUCUGUAAAGACCUCAAACAACCUUUGUUUACUGCUUUAUGAUACAGCGUUUUUUCCAAGAAAGAUUGUAUAGACUAUAUAUGAAAGGCUGCAAAAUAGCAGUUGCCCUAACAUACAACUUCUUCGGUGUCUAAACAGCCCACUUGAGUUAUAACAAUUGAGUGAUGGUGGGAGUUACUCCAAGCCUGACCAUGAAACCUGCUUUGCUUGUAUAUCCUCUUUUAGUGGUGGCUUGUUGGAGGGAGCAACAGAGUGGUUGCCUUGACUCUAGACUUUAAUCAUAAUUAGAGUAUUGGGAUUCUGUGCCAGUGAUAUUACUGUAUAGGCAACAGAUAAUUGUUAAGUUCAGCCAAUUGUAGGCCUAUUUAUUCUCGUAUUAGCACCAAAAUAUUCCUUACUAAGCCUCUUCCAUCAAUUUAUAUCCUGUUCAAUUUUGGUUCUUUUUUGGGGGGUUCACAAAUGUGUCACAAUGUAUAUAAAAAAGAAGCAAAAGAGUGCGCCUUUUUUAUUUAUUUUUUUAGACAAGUUUGCUUCCACUGUCAUAGUUGUAGAUUUUCUGAAAUUAUCUUCUUUUUCAUUUAAGAGAUAAAAAAAAAAAAAAAAAAGCUUACAGCCUAGGUAAAUCAUUGUGGGGAGCAGAUAAGGCACCGGAUCCCGAUUGGACUGGUUAUGGUUGCUACUCCCCCUCCUGGCCUACUACUUCAGUUUAACCCAGAACUCUGUGCAUAUAGUCUCGUAGACCUGGCUGAAGGCUGUCUCCCAAGAGCCAUUUUGGGCACAGCAACAGGAAAUUGGUAGCCAUCUCAGCAAUUUGUCGUUGUGCUGGCUAACUUAGCUUAGAUAGGGGGGCGGAGCCAAGCAGCACAUGGAGACGGUCGCAAAUCAGACCGGCUCCGAUCAACUAAGCUAAUAAACCCACAAUAUUGGCGAAUAAAUCAGCCACACACGGACAAUAGUCGCGGAGCUACACGCACGAGGGCCCAUCGAACCCGCAGAUGCCCGUCUUGUUCCCGGCGACCACUAAAACCUGGCGCCGAGGAUCUCGGGCCUACCACGCGGGCAGCCGGCGGCUGGAGUGGAACGGCAGCCUCGGGGCCACUCUCGACCUCCUCACCAAUAACAUCCUGGGCGACCCCUCCGACGACACAAUGGGCCGAAAAAACCCGCGGCAAAGCCAAACACCAGCCAGAAAGGGUCAAGAUAUCGGGCAAAUGCUCAGCUCAGCGCCACGAGCAAAAGAAAUGGCGCCCUCGCGGCCUGCAGCCCAACCUACUCUCAUGGAGGAAAAUACGCCAGAACUGGGGUCCCUUUUGUCAGGGGACAGAGAAGCCCCAUCCACAAAAGGAGACAUAUACAAUUUAUUCCUCUAUAUGCAGAGGCUCUUCACAACGGACAUCACAGCAGUGAAGACAGAGGUACAGCAGGUAACUGCUAGACUAUACACCACAGAGGCAGACAUCACCUCAUUGAAACAGGGCAUAGACAACCUUGGGGACACAGUACAACAUCUUCACUCCUCUUAUACACACUUAUCGAGCCGAAUGGAACAAUUAGAAGACAGAAGCAGGAGUAAAAAUAUCAAAAUACGGGGGGUCGCUGACACGCUCCCCCCCGAGGAGCUCCCACAUUUUGUCAGGCGACUGAUCGCCUUCCUACUAACGACACGAUCGGCCAAGCAAUUCUCCUUUGAAGGAGUUUACCGCAUCGCUAAGUCUCCCCAAGCGCCCACCACCUCAACCAGAGACAUCAUCUUAUGUUGCCAGUCUCAUGCAGAUAAGCAAAGGAUCCUCACAGCUCUGAAGGGGAAAACGCCAUUACAAUUUGAAUCAUUUUCACUCACCUUUUUCCAAGACCUCUGCAGAGCCACGCUACUAUGGAGGAAAUCCAUGCAACCAAUCACCAAGGCCCUUCAAAGCGUGGGACUGGCAUACCGUUGGACCCAUCCCAGAACCCUCACAGUGACUAAAAAUGGGAAACAAUUCAAAGCUUCUAGUCCUUCUGAGUGUACAGCCUUCCUACAGGCACUGGAGCUGCCAGCAACGCAAGACACGCCGACAACAUCAGCUGAAUGGGAUGUGAGCAACAUCACCCCUUUCACACCCAGGACCAGACGGGACACUGACACUCCUGAGACAUCUCACUCAAUCCAAUAACUUUGGGCCAAAAGCGGACUUAUGAAAGUACACGCCGGUUGCGAUUUUAACAGAGACUUAGUAAGCUGCACAGUGAAUUCCUAAACUCCAGAGACUGAAUGAACAUCCUCUCAUAUGCAAACCAUGAACUUAAGCCACUUAAUGUUAACUGUUAUCUAAUCACUGUUACACCCGAAGUUUAAGCAUUGUACCUUUCCUUCCCUACACCAAGGGUACAGGAACACCUGACUGCAUACAUAUUACUGGCCACUGUUAGAAGAACACCAGAGCCCCAGUCAGCCACUCAGGCUCCCGUUCAGUAUGCCGCCAAGACCCAUAGGAUCUCCACUAUCCUUCCUCCCUCCCCCCCCGUUACCCCAUAGGUUAGAGGGCACGGCAGAUAGGUCAGGAGCUACAGAACAGCGCCAGUACGAUGUUAACACCAAACCACACUGACCUGAAGAUCGCCCACACAUAGUUAAUCCGCAGAAAAGGUAACAGAGAAAUUCCAAUAGACGAGCCCUAGACACAAAUAGGCACACGACAACCACUACAUCCCUGUGCCACCAAGGACAACACAUAAUGCAACAGAUGAGAACUCGGCCACAAAUGUAGUCAAGAACCACAAACACUUCAACCUAACCUAGGGAACACACACCUACUGGAAUGACUAGACCUUAAUCCUCACCUUACAGUGCAGGCACAUAAUUGCAAAUAUCCAUUGUGAGCUAUAUUGUCACUUCAAUUUUACUGUCAUGGUAUUGUAAACCUAAAUCUGUCAAUAUGCACGGCAAAAAUAAAGAAUUUAAAAACUUAGCUUAGAUAAUAUCCUCUGGAAGAUGAGUAGAGGGAUGCCCCAGGAUGCACCUGAAAAACCUAUCUAGUCCAAAAGAGGGGGAAAACUGGCUGCGGUGCGGGAACCCAACCAUGCUGUUUUGCUGUCAUGCAAGGGAGCCGGCCACCUUCCCUGCACACAUUGACUCUCCGAACUAGGCCACAAUUUCAGGAAUCGCUCCAAAAGGGUCAAUACCUGGUAAAAGGCUCAAAUUCUGCACCAGCACAACUUGCUAUAUUAUAUCCCAGCUAGGCGAUUACAUUCUAGCAGUUUAAUGACUAACAAGCCAAAAGGACAAGAAACUUUGAGGAGCUAUAGUGCUAAGCAUCCUUCCAGCACCACAAAUGCGACAAUGUUUAUACAUAACUCCCAUUGUACCUUGAUUCUCAUUUACCAGAAAUUAUUUAACACCUCUUACUGCAGCUCACUUGAAUGUUCCAGUCGUGAGUUCUUCGACUUCUCCUUGUGUUUUUUAAAUGAACUCACUCUGCACCUACACAUCCUGUUUAAUGGGCCGAAGUCCAGAGCCAACAAGCAGGAGAACUACAGUAUCAAUAGACUAAAGAGAAAUAUGAUUAAAAGCAUGUACUGCAAUCUGAAUAUAAAUUCUGCUACAAAAAAUCCUUGGCACGUCCUCAAUAUGAAUGACAAGAUGCUUGCAGGUUUGGUUUGAGUGGGUAGAUCUUCAUAGACUUGGAAUGAGUGGGCAAAUGGUAAUGGUGAAUAGAUCGUCUUGGCAUAUGUUAAGCAUCCUGAAGCUGCUACUUUGAUCCCUCUGUAAUGGUUUCCAGGAUAGACAAACAUGUCAUACGUGUAAAUCUUACUAGAAGUUUUAAAGAAUAAUAAUGGUUAUUCAGUAAUCUGUAAAUUAUAGGGAAGGUAGUGACAGGGGAAUUUUAAAUUGUAGUCAAAAAAGGAAAAAAAUCUUUAUCUCAUUUAUUUUUCCAGCUUGACUAUUUUGUCCUAUAAGUUCAAGUAAAAGGAUGGUUUAGUAAAUAAGCUUUUACAUUUUUAUCUGUUUUGCGUGGCUGAAGAAUGGAAGGAAUGUGGUGAUAUAAAUACAUUGGUACACAAUAAACAAAAUAUACAUAAAGGCAAGAGUGUUCACAUUUAGAAUUUUCUUUGCUCACUGUACUUACACUGAAUGCUUCGUGUUUACACAACCUUCACUAUAGAGUCAAAGUAAGAAAAACAUUUCCAAAACCAUGUAAAAAUACUUUUUUUUUUUUUGUAGAUUUAUUUUUAUGGAGUGGAGUCAUCUGGCAAUCCGUAUACAGAAUGACAGAAGUUUCUCAAUUUAAUUUGAUCACCUCUACUCUUCUUCCCCUGUCAGAAUGUUGCAAAGUGAAGAGAUCUUCCAACUGCACAUGUGUAAAUCCGUCACGCCCAAUGAACUUUUCCAGUAUUCCUAGGGAUAGGACAUUGAUUGGUUAGAUCACUGUAUUUCCUUUAUUGGUUGUGGAAAGCAUACGAAAUAAGAACAGGUAGUUGUUGUAAAGGGAGGCAGC